rnacentral:lncRNA from 1 species
CAGACCUAUGAAGGUCGAAGGGGAAGAAAAGCUGUAUCGAUUGUUGAGAUCUGGCGACUUGUUUAAAUUUCAUCAGCCUCACUUCUAUGAACUCUCAGGCCUCAUGUGUACCAGCUCUCUGCUCUCCUUUGCCUUGGGACGUUCCAUCCCUGGAAGUUUCCCUGCCCACAUCUUUGUAGAGAGUCCAUUCUCCAAGCUUCAGUGUGUCAUCUGUGAGGACUGUGACCAACCUGGUACAUCGCCUCAGGGCAUUCAUUUCAGGCUCCUUCUAAAUGGUCAAGGUACAGUUGAC